CCAGGAGUGAUUCCAGAAGGUAGGAAAUCCCAAGAAGAGCUUGGACUUUGGGGUUCUGUGAACUGGAAGGAGAAAUUUACCAGUAACCUUAUGAAUGUGUUAGAUGGCAGUGACUCCAAAAGAUAGAGUAUAACCUGAACAGGUGGCCUGAGUCUUUCCAAACUUGAAGCCGGGAAAGUCCAGGGCAGCAGCAUCUUCCAGGUGAUUUGGGCAGGACUGACAGCCUAUCCUUAUCACACAGAACCCCUUUUAAGUAUUCCUGCAUUAGGAAUAUAUUAGCAGCAGACAGGUACAGCAGCUCACACCUGUAAUCCCAGCACUUUGGGAGGCUCAGAAGGGAAGAUCACUUGAGACAAGGAGAUCAAGACCAGCCUAAGCAAGAUAGCAAGACUUUGUCUCUAUAUAACAAAACUUUAAAAAUUAGCCAGAUGUAGUGAUGCAUGCCUGUAGUCCCAGCUAUUUUGAAGGCUGAAGAGGGAAGAUUGUGCCCAGGAAGUCAAGGCUGCAGUGAGCGAAGAUCACACCACUGCACUCCAGCCUGGACAACAGAAUGAGACCCUGUCCCUUUAAAAAAAGGAGGAGCAGGAGAAGGAGAAGGAGGAGGAGGAGGAGAAGCAGAAGCAGAAGAAGAGGAGGAGGGGGAAGGGGAAGAGGAAAAGGAAGGGGAAGAGGAGGAGGAAGGUGAGGAGGAAGAAGGAGAAGAAGAAGACAACAAGAGGAAGAGGAAGAGGAAGGAGGAGGAGAAGAAGGAGGAGGAGGAGGAGGAGAAGGAGAAGAAAUAAAACUAGAAACAAGGUCAGAGCGUCACUGAAUCAUCAGAGAAAAAAACAACUGCCUAUCUGAGGAGUUCCAGAAGGCAGAGAAUCAGAUUGAACAAUCAUAACACGUCUUGUCAAAUAGAACUACUGGAGGAGAAAAAGAAACACAUGUAUUUCUUAAAGUUUUUUUUUAAAAAAAUGUUGAGAUCCAAGUGAAAUAAAAUAUUGUUAGAUGGAAGCUACUUAACUCAUUUAUUCAAUAAAUGAGUUAAUAAUGUAUGAUGGGCCAGGCACUCUUUUCAGCGCUUGAGAUAAAGCAAUGAACAACACAAUUAAAGAUCCUUAUUUUUGUGAAGCUUAUAGUAUAGCAAGAGAAGACAGACAAUACAUGGUAAUAUAAUACAUAAGUAAAUUACGUGACACAUUAGAAUUGACAAUGUUCUGGAAUAAAAAGAAGAGCAAGAUAAAAGGGAUUGGGACUGGUGGGGAGAGGGACAGUUUGAAAUAUUAAAUAGAGUGGUCAAAAUCAGCCUCAUUGAGAGGGUGACAUUUUAACAAAGACUUGAAAGAAGUGUAGAAGUAAAUCAUACAGAUACAUGAGAGAAAGUGUCUUGCAGGCAGAGUGAAUGGUUAGUGCCAACACCUAAGGACAGGGCAUGUCCAACAUGUCCAAGGAGUGAGAAAGACACCAGAGGGGCUGCCUUGUUGUGAGGGGAAAGAAUAGUAAGAUACGAAGUCAGAAACGAGGUGGGGGACCGGAUCACACAUAUUGGAUUUGAGAUGUCAACUAGAUAGGCUAGUGAAGAUGAAUAGGCACUUAGAUAAUCUAGUCCAGAAUUCAAGACAUAAGUCUGGGCUAGAAAUAAGAGAAAGAUCAUCUAAGAAAAACCCAAAUCCAGAAAAAUCACAUGAUUGCAUACAUUUUUAAACCAUUUUUAUGAUGAAAAUUUCCAUAAAAAGUUAUGAGAAAUGAGAGAAGUGAAUAUACAUAGUAUUUUGGAAACAGAUAGUUAAUAUACCUAAUAUACUUUUCUAAAUAAUUAAAAUUAUAAAUUGAAAGGAAAAAUUAUAGUCAAUUUAUACAUGCAAAUAUGCUCAGCAUCACUAAUUAUCAAAGAAAUGCAGUUGACACCAAAAUGAGAUACAUAUAAGAUUUUCAGUACUAGCAAGGAUGAAAAUAAGUUUCUAACACUAUUGUUGGGAGUUCCAUAUUUGCAUGUAACUUGACGAUAUAAAUUAAAAGUUAAAAUACAUAUACUCUACGAUCCAGAAAUACCACUUCUAGAAAUUUAACCAACUGUUCAUAUUUCCAAGGCUGUAGAUAUGUAUAUAUAUAAUUUUAUAAACAUAGCUUUGCUAUUUCAAUGUUCAUUUUACACUAGCUCUACUGUAAAGUAUCAAUCCUCCUAAUCAUCAUCAUGUAAAUGUCCAGCCAUAGGAAAAGAGCUUAAUUCUGUAAUUAAUAUUCAUAAAAUUGAAUUGUACAGUCAUUAAAAAUAAUGAGGUACAUAUCUACAUGUACUGACCUGGAAAGAUGUCCACAAUAUCCUUCUUUUACAGAUGAGAAAACUAAAGCUCAAAGAGGUUAAGUAACAUACACAAGGCCACUCUAAUAGAAAACAAUGGCUCUGGGAUCUAAGCUGAGUUCUUACUCCAUGGUUUAUACACUUGUCUCUAGUAUGCACUGCCUUAAAUUAAAAAAUAAAAAGUCUUAGACGAGAUCAAGCUCCUUUAAUAAGUAUAACAUAUUCAUUACAUAAAUCAUCUGUGCUAGGCACUGUGCUAAGUACUAGAAACAAAAUUAUGAGCAAGACAGAGGAGGCCUUUUCUCUUACGGUAUAGAAAUGCAACUAAAUUAUUUUUCUAAAUAUGACAAUAUUGCUCUCAAAAAUUUUUUGGAAACAAAUUAGCAUGUUUUUCCCCACUGUUCUAUUAUUUGGUUUUAAUUAUGUGGAAUUUUUGUGUAACUAUUAGUUCAAGAAGCAGAGUAUGAUAUAUUCAAUUACAAUGCCGGAAGCUAAGAGCAAGCCACAUUACAUCCUCCUAAAUCCUGCCAACAAAUAAAAUAGAAAAUAACAAUAAGAGAGAUGGUACUUGUGACAGAGACUGCUAUUGUCCCACAAAAUCUAUUUUCUCCUUUCAGAAUAACCAAACCCUUGUUAUCUGGGCACAUAUCCUGGAUUAACCAAUAAGUGGUGUCUUCAUAAGGAGAGGGAAAUUUGGAGACAAGGAUACACACAGAGAAGAAAGACAUGUGAAGACAGCGGCAGAGAUUGAAAUGAUACAGCUGCAAGCCAAAGAACACUCUUGCCAGUAACCAUCAGAAGCUAGGAGAGAGGCAUGGAACAGAUUCUCUUUCAGCCCCCAAAAGAACUAACCCUGCUGUCACCUUGAUGUCAGACUUCUGCCCUCCUGAAAUGUAAGAAUAAAUUUCUUGUUUUAAGCCGUUCUGUCUGUGGUAGUUUGUUAUGGCCACCCUAGAAAAGGAACGCAUGUGAUAUCGAAGUCUUUCCACUGGACAGUUCCAACCUCCCUUUGGCCCUCCAUUCAUGCUCAGUCGAUAACCUUGCUUUUGAGGAAGUAGAAGCCAUCAGACGGUAACUUCCUCAACUUCUGGACACCAAACUUAAAACCUAUACUCAUCCUCUCUUAUCCCUCCUCGAACAAGGACAGCAUGGUAGCAAAAAUAGUAGUGAUUAAGGGUGCAGGUUCUGUAGUCAAAACGUUUUGUUUUAAAUCUGAACUCAUCAAUUGCCAACUGUGUAAUUUUGGGUAAAAUAUCUAAUUUCUCAGUGACCCAUAGUCCUCUUCACACCCCACCUCAGAUCUGAUGUAUUUAUCACAGUUCUCCAGAGAAACAGAAUGGACAGAAUAUAUAUAUAUAUAUAUAUAUAUAUAUAUAUAUAUAUAUAUAUAUAUAUAUAUAUAUGUAUAUGUGUGUGUAUGUAUAUGUAUAUAUGUGUAUAUGUGUGUGUGUAUGUAUAUAUGUGUAUAUAUAAUACCAUAUAUAUAUAUAUGGGCUCAUGCAAUUGUGGAAGUUUGCAAAUCUGAAAUCUGUAGGGCAAGGGCAGACUGGAAACUUAGGCAACAGUUGAUGCUGCAGCCUUAAGGGAUGUUGUGAGAAUUAAAUAUGAUAGCUAAAGGAAUUUAUUGAGUAUAUAGUGCUAAAUAAAGGCCAGUUAGUAUAUUUUGUUAUUAGUUGAGCCUAUAGAAUUUGUAAGUAAGCAAAAGUAAAAAAAAUGCUUAAACAUUGGCAAUCAUAUGUUCAGUGUAUUAUUACAAUGAAUGUAGUCCUAGGGUAGUUCUUACUCUUAUUAAAAGAGAAUCUGUUCAGGUAUUGUCUUGAUCUCAUCCUCUUCCACCUUUUCAGUCUCACAUGACCAAUUAUCUCCUUUCUUGAGUCUUCGACUUCAGCCCAUGUAUCUGAUUCUUUGCAUCAUUGCAUAAAUGUGCUCUUAUCUUGAUUAUAUUUGCAAACACUCUAUUUCCAAAUAAACCCACAUUCACAAGUACCUGGUGUUUACGGCCUUAAGAUAUCUUUAUGGGGACACAGUCCAACCACAAUACCAUGGUUUCAGAGAGAUGGAGCUGUGAAUUUAGAGUAGCACCAAUCUGCCUGGGUAUGAAUGAAAUUGCAGUCAUCUAAUCUGAGCUGAGAAAGGAUAGUUGUGGUAGGAGAACUUGGAGGGGUCACUGAACUUUAAGCCCUGAGGAUGAAAAACAUGUGCAGCAAACUAGGAGGAUCAUAGAUUUUAGUCACUGAGCUGGUGUUUGAGUUCAUGGUCAUGGAGGAGCAGUAGUAACUGGGCCCAGAAUAAUACUGUAGGACAAGGACAGGUGAAGUGGAAGAGAUGGAACUGAUGACAAAGAUGCAGAACUAAGUAGCCAAAGCUCUCAGAUUCUACGCUGGGACACUAGUUUCCUGGGAAAUUCCUAGGAUGACCAGCGUGAAGAGGAAGAUGAGGCAGUUGUUAACAAACAAGAUGUGAGCAAAAAGAGUAAUGAAAAAAGGAAGAUGGCUUUAGCCAGUCAGCAGGUAUCAGUUUCAAAGGUAGUUUUUAAAAAAUAACAGAGAAACAGUAAUCUGGAAAUACCAUGGGGAGCCAAGAGGACUCAAAACCAACAACUGACCCAAGUCUCAUAGGGUGGCACCACAGAGUAUAUACUAGGCAGGUAAGAAUUGAAGUAUUUGCCAUCCUACUCAUUUGCAAAAUCAUCAAAAACAACAUUGUAUCUAGAUCAGGACACAGAUAAUCUUUAAUGGGAAAGAGAAUCCUCUGCACAGUACAGUCUUCUCAGGGAAUGCAAAGCCAAGCUAUGACCAUGCCUGGUCCAAGUAUGUACAGUACAGCCAAAGAGCAGUCACAGAACACACAUGACUGCCAGGGCCCACUGCUAUGGUUUAGGAGCAGUUCUCAGGCAAGAGGGGAACGAGUCAUAAGCUGGACAGACCGGUGUUGACUUUAACACUUGUAUUCAAAAAAUUCCCAAGGAGACUUUGAAAGACAUGAUACCAAGUUUAUAUGAUAAAAUAUUCUAAUUUUGUUCAGUGAAAUUCAUUUUGAUACUUUUAAAUUCUGGUAAACAAUAAUAGAAAUGAUAAAGCCCUUCCAUCUUGCUGACGUUUUAUGCCACUAAAUGUCACUUUAGAAUAGAAAAUGAGAAGGUGAAAUGGGCCGGUGGCUCACACCUGCAAUCCCAGCACUUUGGGAGGCAGGAGAAUUGCUUGAGCCCGAGUUCAAGGCUGCAGUGAACUAUGAUUGCACCACUGCACUCCAGCCUGGAUGACAGAGCAAGACCAUGUCUCUAAAACUAAAAUUAAAAAAAAAAAAGAAAAAAGAAAAUGGUAAAGUAAAGAGUGAAAGUGACAUGAUCAAAGAAAAAUACAGGGAGUAUUUGGAGAGCAGCUUGACAAGCACACUUAGUUAUGAUGGCAGGAGGAAAUCUUUAAAGGGUAGGCAAAGGACAUUUGUGGACUUCAUACUUCUCCUGAUUCCUUACAAGAAAAACCAGUAAUACCUCCAUGCUGCUUUCCAGUUUUAAACUGCAUUCUCAUAUGUUAUUAUUCCAAACAUGGUGAGUGUCAGACAGCACACAUAUACUGCAUGUAAUACAGACAAGAACAGUGAGGCUCAGAGAGACUGACUGCCCCACAUCUGUCAUCUGAAGUGGAGCUGGGGCUGGACCUAUGGUUUCCCCUGAGCUUUGUUCAUCUUCACUACUUCAUGUCCUGUCAAUUCUCAGGAUGUAAGAAAAGGAGUACUUUGGUGUUGCGGGAAGUCAGGGACCCCAAACGGAGGGACCGGCUGAAGCCAUGGCAGAACAUAAAUUGUGAAGAUUUCAUGGACAUUUAUUAGUUCCCCAAAUUGAUACUUUUAUAAUUUCUUACACCUGUCUUUACUGCAAUCUCUGAACAUAAAUUGUGAAGAUUUCACGGACAUUUAUCACUUCCCCAAUCAAUAGUCUUAGAAUUUCCUAUGCCUGUCUUUACUUUAAUCUCUUAAUCCCGUCAUCUUCAUAAACUGAGGAUGUAUGUCACCUCAAGAUCCUGUGAUGAUUGCGUUAACUACACAAAUUGUUCGUAAAGCAUGUGUGUUUGAACAAUAUGAAAUCUGGGCACCUUGAAAAAAGAACAGGAUAACAGCGAUGUUCAGGGAACAAGGGAGAUAACCAUUAGGUCUGACUGCCUGGGAGCUGGACAGGACAGAGUCAUAUUUCUCUUAUUGUCGAAAACAGGUAAGAGAAAUAUCGCUGAAUUCUUUCCCCAGUAAGGAAUAUUAAUAAUUAACAGCCCUGGGAAAAGAAUGCAUUCCCAGGGGGAGGCUUCUAAAAUGGCCGCUCUGGGAGUGUCUGCCUUAUGCAGUUGUAGAUAGGGAUGAAACAUGCCCUGGUCUCCUGCAGAAUCCCCAGGCUUGCUAGGAUUAGGAAAUUCCAGCCUGGUGAAUUCUAGUCAGACCGGUUCUCUGCUUUUGAACCCUGUUUCCUGUUAAGAUGUUUAUUAAUGACAAUGCAUGCACAGUGGGACAUGAAACUUUAUCAGCAAUUCUAGUUUUGCCCUGGCCUUGUGAACUUGCCCUGCCCAUUCACCUUGUGAUAUUUUAUUGCCUUUGAAGCAUGUGAUCUCUGUGACCCACACCUUAUUCGUACACCGCCUCCCCUUUGAAAAUCGCUCAUUAGAACUUGCUGGUUUUGCGGCUCAGGGGGCAUCACAGAACCUGCCAACAUGUGAUGUCUCCCCCAGACACCCAGCUUUAAAAUUUCUCACUUUUGUACUCUUUCCCUUUAUUUCUCAGACCAGUCGACACUUAGGGAAAAUAGAAAAGAACCUACAUUGAAAUAUUGGGGGCUGGUUCCCCCGAUACUUUGGGAAAGCUAUUCUGGAAGUAUAACAGAGGGAGGACUGGACAGGAAGAAACUUGAGAGGUUGCUGGAAUACAGGCUACACAUGACUUGGUCAACAACUUGUAUAGAAUGAAGGCAAAAGACUCAAAGAUACAUCUAAAAUUUCCAAGCAACCUGAUACAAAUGGUGUCCCUGCAGAGAGAAGAUGAUUUACAGGUAUGAGAGAAGACAGCUAAUGAAUUUGAUUCUGGCAUGCAUUGUGUAUUUGGGGAAACGAAAAUAUACAGGGUGAGAUGCUUAUAACUUACAAAUUUACAAGAUUAUAAAUGCUUGUAAAUUUAUAUUUCAGCUCAAAUGUUGGAACUGGAGAUUUUAAAUGAGAAAGAAAAUGACAUUAAGAGUUGACUGACUAUAUUUCAGUUUAUUUUUCUAAAGAUGAAUGGGUCACAUCAAAGAAACAAAUGGUAAAUAAUAAAGGGUAUUGAUAAAGUUAUAUGAAUGUACAAAAAUUCAAAUGUUAUAAUAAUUGCCAUUUCUUGUUUCUUUUUAGUCUUAAUUCAAACAGCACAGUCUGAAUGCCUCUAUCUACAGUGGUAAAUUAAUCUGUGAUUUCAGCAUCCAACUUUCCUUUUUAAAAAGAGAUAUGUUCUUCUCCAGCUGUGUCCCAGUCAUACAUAAGCUAGAUCCCUUUCAAUAUGCAUUGGGAGAAAUUUUCAAAAUGAUACAUUUGGCAGACAAUCCUCAUCUGGAUUUUAAUUAAGGCCCCAUGCAAAAUGCUGCCGGGCAUGUAUAAAAAGGAUCUACACAUGUCAAAAAGAAGUUACAGGUGGAAACAGGAAACAGGCUGGUAGUUCUCUGAGAGCUUUAGAAAUUAUAACUUCAGUUCUGAUGAUAGUGACUAGAAAGCCCUGAUAAAUUAAAAAUUAAAUAUUUUAUAAAUUAAAUUUACUUUUGGGAAAGUGUAAUGUUAACACAAAUGUAGAGCACAGUAAAAAUCAUUUUGGAUUCAAAACGAAAAUGUUAAGGACAGAGAGGUAGGAAAAGGUAUCUAUUCAAAAUAAAAUAUUCUGGAAGCAUUAUGAUCUGCUUUUAUAUACAGGAUAGAGGUGACAAAGCAUGAAGAAGUAGAAAAAUGAGCAGAGAAGCAGCAAAGUAAUAUAAAAUGGACAAAUUAGGCAGAAAAUGAAAGAAGUGAAGCAGAAAUUCCCUUCAAUUACAAAGACUAAAGUGUUUAAUUUAGAAGAAAAAGCCUGAGAGAACACUGUAUAUUUCUUUUCUGCAAAUUUAUGGUCCCUUCCUUCUCCUAAACCAGCCAUUUCUACAAAACAGAUGGGAAGGUGCUCCUUACAAUAAGGAUGCCCAUAUCAUUCAAAGUCCUUAUCAGGGCACUUUUGUCUAGAACUAAUGCUAAAUGAGAUAGGAUAUCACAACCACUGGUAUAAUCAAAGUAUCCCAGGCAAACCAGAGUGAAGAUGUGGUAGACUGAUUGCAAAAAUGGCCAGAAUUCCUCAGCCCUCCCUGUACCCCAUUUUUUUUUUUUUGAGAUGGAGUCUCACUCUGUUGCCCAGGCUGGAGUGCAGUGGCGCAAUCUCGGCUCACUGCAAGCUCUGCCUCCCAGGUUCACACCAUUCUCCUGCCUCAGCCUCCCGAGUAGCUGGGACUACAGGCACCCGCCACUAUGCCCGGCUAAUUUUUUUUUUGUAUUUUUAGUAGAGACGGGGUUUCACCAUGUUAGCCAGGAUGGUCUCGAUCUCCUGACCUUGUGAUCCGCCCGCCUCGGCCUCCCAAAGUGCUGGGAUUACAGGCGUGAGCCACCGCACCCAGCCCCUGUAUCCCAUUUUUACCCAACUUCACAGCUCCUCUUAUCAGUAGGUGGACUCUAUUCCCCACCCCUUGACUCUGGUCUGGCUCUGUGAUUAGUUCUGGCCAAUCUGGUGUGGCAGAAGCAUAAUGAAGUGCUAGUUCUGAGACUUGGCCUUGACAGCUUGAACACCUCUGCUUUCUCUCCUUUACUCUUGCCACCUCCAUUAGAACAAGCCCAAGCUACCAUGGCUAUAGGAUCAAACACCAUAGGGAGAGCUUAGCUCCACCACUUACCACCCCCUGCCCUUCUGUUAUUUAGCUAACUCCAGAAGUUGAACCACAUAGCCAACCUGCAGCUGACACUGAGAACCCAGCCAAGAGCAAAACCGCUCAGUUAAGCUGCACCUCAUUUCCUCUAAAAUUUUGAACAAAAUAAAUGGUUGGGGUUUCCAGCCAUCAAAUUUUUGAUCAGUUUGUUACACAGCAAUAGCUAGCAGAUGCACUCACUAUGAGUGUGCCUACCACCUCAGAAGUGCAGCAAGUGUUUCCUACUGGAAUGAACCAAUCCAACCCAUCUGCACCUGAAGCAGGUUAAGAAACCCAAGGCUCUUCAACCAAAGCCCUAGAAGAUAUUAUGCUUCUUUUUAGUUUCUCAUUUCUAGGCAUUUAAGACUGCUCUAUCCAAAAAUAAUUAUUAGCUAUUUUCAUGCUUUCCCUAAGAAAUUAAAAGCUGGCCAGCAUGGUGGUUCACACCUGUAAUCCCAGAAGCUUGGGAGGCAGAGGCGGGUGAAUCACUUGAGGUCAGGAAUUCAAGAUCAGCCUGGCCAACACAGUGAAAUCCCGUCUCUAUGAAAAAUACAAAAAUUUGC
rnacentral:lncRNA from 10 species